GGUUAUUCCUAGGUCACCCACUCACGUCAAGCAUUUUAAAGCCUACGGCAUAGUCUGGCUAAGCUGUAUCAGGGUGGAGGACUUCUUUUAAAAAUGUGAAGGUCAUUCUCAAUGAGGUUAAUAACUCCUGCGAUUUGUCAUGUGAGGUCUCUUCACCUCAGAGCUGAGGUUGCUCUUGAGGCAUACAGGAAAAAUAACUACAGAGGUUGGCUUCUAUUUUGUAAAAUGAAUUCUUUAAA